rfam:Nocardioides sp. CF8 chromosome, whole genome shotgun sequence.
GGCUUUCUUCGCGGCGGAGCUCGACCGCCCCAACCGGUACUGAUCGACUUCAUCGAGAACCACAAGGACGAGUUCGGGGUCGAGCCGAUCUGCCGGGUGCUCAGCGAGCACGGCGCCAAGAUCGCCCCG